rfam:Camelus ferus unplaced genomic scaffold scaffold348, whole genome shotgun sequence.
GAGGGUAUAGCUCAGUGGAAGAGCACAUACUUAGCAGGUACAAGGUCCUGGGUUCAAUCCCCAGUACCUCCA